rnacentral:rRNA from 1 species
CCUACGGGAGGCAGCAGUGGGGGAUAUUGGGCAAUGGAGGAAACUCUGACCCAGCAACGCCGCGUGAAUGAUGAAGGUCUUCGGAUUGUAAAGCUCUGUUCUAAGUGAAGAAGAAAGUUACGGUACCUGAGGAAUAAGCCUCGUCUAACUACGUGCCAGCAGCCGCGGUAAUACGUAGGAGGGAAGCGUUAGCCGGGAUGUCUGGGGGAAAAGGGGAGGUAGGUGGUUUGACAAGUUGUUAGCGUAAAUGCGGGGCUCAAACCUGGCACUGCUACCAAAACUGUCGGACUUGAGUGCAGGAGAGGCAAAUGGAAUUCCUAGUGUAGCGGUGGAAUGCGUAGAUAUUAGGAGGAACACCAGUGGCGAAGGCGAUUUGCUGGACUGUAACUGACGCUGAGGCACGAAAGCGUGGGGAGCAAACAGGAUUAGAUACCCGGGUAGUC